CCUACGGGGGGCUGCAGUGGGGAAUAUUGGACAAUGGGCGAAAGCCUGAUCCAGCCAUGCCGCGUGUGUGAAGAAGGCCUUCGGGUUGUAAAGCACUUUCAGUGGGGAAGAAAGCCUUGGGGCUAAUACCCUCGAGGAAGGACAUCACCCACAGAAGAAGCACCGGCUAACUCCGUGCCAGCAGCCGCGGUAAUACGGAGGGUGCGAGCGUUAAUCGGAAUUACUGGGCGUAAAGCGCGCGUAGGCGGUCUGAUAAGCCGGUUGUGAAAGCCCCGGGCUCAACCUGGGAACGGCAUCCGGAACUGUCAGGCUAGAGUGCAGGAGAGGAAGGUAGAAUUCCCGGUGUAGCGGUGAAAUGCGUAGAGAUCGGGAGGAAUACCAGUGGCGAAGGCGACCUUCUGGACUGACACUGACGCUGAGGUGCGAAAGCGUGGGUAGCAAACAGGAUUAGAUACCCUGGUAGUC
rnacentral:rRNA from 1 species